GCCGGGGUAGCUCAGCCUGGUUAGAGUGCCAGUUCGAAUGGUAAACUCUAACGGUUCUUCCAUAGAAGGCAAUACUCAUAAUCUGGAGGUCGUGGGUUCGAAACCCACCCCCGGCA
rnacentral:tRNA from 1 species